rnacentral:misc_RNA from 1 species
AAAUGCGAUAAGUAAUGUGAAUUGCAGAAUUCAGUGAAUCAUCGAAUCUUUGAACGCACCUUGCGCUCCUUGGUAUUCCUUGGAGCAUGCCUGUUUGAGUAUCAUGAAAUCUUCAAAGUAAAUCUUUUGUUAACUCAAUUGGUUUCUACUUUGGUAUUGGAGGUCUUUGCAGCUUCACACCUGCUCCUCUUUGUUCAUUGGCUGGAUCUCAGUGUUAUGCUUGGUUCCACUCGGCGUGAUAAGUUAUCUAUCGCUGAGGACACUGUAAAAGGUGGCCAAGGUAAAUGCAGAUGAACCGCUUCUAAUAGUCCAUUGACUUGGACAAUACUUUUAUGAUCUGAUCUCAAAUCAGGUAGGACUACCCGCUGAACUUAAGC